UACGAAGGGGGCUAGCGUUGCUCGGAAUCACUGGGCGUAAAGCGCACGUAGGCGGAUCUUUAAGUCAGGGGUGAAAUCCUGGAGCUCAACUCCAGAACUGCCUUUGAUACUGGGGAUCUCGGAGUCCGGAAGAGGUGAGUGGAACUCCGAGUGUAGAGGUGAAAUUCGUAGAUAUUCGGAAGAACACCAGUGGCGAAGGCGGCUCACUGGUCCGGUACUGACGCUGAGGUGCGAAAGCGUGGGGAGCAAACAGGG
rnacentral:rRNA from 1 species